GUACAGAGAGGCAAAAUCCGUUGAAUGAGGUCGCCUUUAACCCGGACUAUCGUACUGAUGAGUUGGUACUUGGGAGUGGGUAUGCGGGGCAGAUUCUAUCGAAGCUGUAACGGGGUUGCUAGGUUAGGUUUUUGAAACUACGCCUCCCCGUCCCCAUCUUUAAGGGGCCAUUUCAAAAGAAAAAAGGAGGGGGGAGGGGGAGGGGGGCGCAGAGUUUGAUUUCAAUUUUGUUUUUUCAUUAUAGGGUUAGAUCGUUCAACACGGUGUUUUAUGUAUAUAUAUCUAUGGAUAGACAUUCGCAUUUCCCCAUUUGGAUUAUGUCUACAGUACAGUUCUGAUGUGCUCGACUGUUAUGUUUCAGACUUCGAUUUUGCUUUUUGAUAAUUCUAUCUCUUGAAUUCUAAAGUACAUACUUGUUUUAGCAAGAUGUAUGGUUGUAUGUGCUGCGUUGCCCGGGUUAUCCAGUAGGGAU
rnacentral:sRNA from 2 species